AUUACAUAAAGCAGAAAACAUGAGAAAGAGAGAGAGAAAAAGAAAGAGACGGGGGAGAUGCAGAGAGAGAGAAAGAGGGAGGGAGAAGAGAAAACGUAAAGAAAGAAAGGAAGAAAAAAGAAAAGAAAAGAAAAUUUUCUAACGCGUUCGAGAUUCGUUCGUAAGAAUUUUCAAUCCUAAAUAGUUCAAGUACAUAAGGAAUUUAUCGAAUAGGUAUGAAUUUAUCUAAAUGUCCAAUGAUUUUGUGUUUUCACUUUUUAAUGUUUUAAGUCAAGUGUUUUAUGUGCUGUUAUAUGUUCCAAAGUAAGGAAAAAUAUUGUGGAAAUAUCAUAAGAUAUUAUUAUGUAGAUCUACACGGAAAUCAGCCAAAUGGCUAAAUACCCUAAGUGGAGAUUGAAAAUGUGUUUGACCUAAGUAAAAAUGAGACGGUCAGAGUUUUAUCCCACUAGAAAGUUAUGUUAUAUGCGUAUUUUACUUACUUUUUGUAUUAAAAUGUGAAAAUACUGAGAUGAAAUCUAUACGGAGUAUAUUCAAAUACUCAUUCUAUAUUCUAAAUUAUUUUUACAGAUACUUGAUGGAUCGGAGUUGGAAGUCGAGAUUGCAGACAGAGUUCGUGUUGCUGGAUCAAGAAUUUAAGAUUUUCUUUUAAUAUUUAGUAUUUAGUUAGAAAAUAUUUUUUUAUUUAAAUUAGAAUUUUAUUUUUAAAUCAAUGGUGAAUUUUUCAAAAUAAGUACUGUAUUCAUAGUAAAACAUUGAAUUAGAUUAAUUAAUGUUUUAUGAGACAAUAAAAUAACUUGUUUUUAUUCC
rnacentral:lncRNA from 1 species